CAAAUUAAGCAGUUUGCUACCGCCACCACUAAAUCUGCAUAGCAGAGAGCCAAUCCUGCUCCCUUUGCUAUUUGGCAGCCCAUUCAUGCACUGAAAUCCCCACUGUGAUAUGUACCUAAUCAACUAGCUCAGUAUUCUAAUUUUUGCUAGGAUGUCUGCCUCCAUGUUUCUGGGAGGUGAAUCUGACCAGUGUGCUGAAGCAAUUAGGUCCACAGUGGGUUCCUGUAGACUUUUCCAAAUGUCUUUCCACAUAUCAGCUCCCCAUAAGGAUUUUUAAAUUAUAUACCAAUCAUCUCCGGCCCUUUGGGCAAGCCAAAUUGUAAGACCCUUAAGUACUGCCAGACUGUCUGUACAGAGAACUAUAGGUGGUGGCUCACGGGUACAAACCAACCAUGCAGCUUGGAGUUCUGCCCAUUGACUGCUCUGUUGCAUUCCCAUCUCAAACCAGAUACUGUCUGUGGUUGUGCAGCUACUACUGUCCAUACACAGGGUUACCUUGGCUCAAUGCAUCUAAGUACCAAGCAUUAUCAGGAAUGAGGGCCAUGCCUUCAUGUACCAUUGGAGACAUCUCCUGUGAGGGCUCCACAAUAGGGGCAGCACUGGACUCAUAAUGUACUGGCCCUAAGAUAGCAUGCAGUUCAUCUCGUAAGGGAUGCAUGGAGAAGGCACUAUGUUGUUGCAUGUAUGCAUGGCACUUUUGUAAAGUGGAAACUUGGGCAAUAGCUGAUACAGGCCUGGCAAACACUCCUACCCAGUCCUUGAUAGGAGACCUGUUCUCCCUGGUACCAGGAAAGCAGCAGUUAUCGAUUCAACUUGUGGCAAGACCUUCUAUAUCCCCAGGACCUGUUAUUCAACUGGGAAAUAGCAGGUUUCAGUACCCUUCCAUUAAUUGUGACUAAAAUUCUAAAGGAACUGCUUCCCUAUGCUGGACUUUAUAUUUUCAUCAUCCAAAAUUAUAGUUUAGUUUUACCUUUAAAAAUAUGUUUUUUGUUCUCAUUUGUUCCAUAGGUUUCUCCUUGAAAUUUAUAUUGUAUGGUAAGGUUUCCUAUUGUUUGCAUUUUGUGGAUUGCACGCCAAGGUGUGGUUUAAUGUAUUUCUAUUACCUGUAUUUUCUAUAAAUUGGUAGUUUGGUAUAGAGGUUUGUGUACAUACAGGGUUUUUUUUUUCUGUAAGUAUUGAUGGUUCUGUAAAAGGAAAAUAAAAUCUUGGGGCCCCAAAAUUACUAAGCUAAAGGGAAAAGUCAAGCUGGGAACUGCGUAGGCCUCCCAUCUGUUCAAAGUCGCCCCUCUGCUCACUGAGAUAAACACAUGUCUGAUUGCCUCAUUUGGAAAGGCUAAUUGGAAACUCAAAAGAAUGCAACCAUUUGUCUCUCAUCUAUCUGUGACCUGGAAGCCCCCUCCUUGCUUCGAGUUGUCCCGCCUUUCCAGACGGAAUCAAUCUUUAGCUUACAUAUGUUGAUCACUGUCUCAUGUCCCCUUAAAAUGUAUAAAACCAAGUUGUGCUCUGACCACCAAAGUUGUGCUGAGAAGUGACACCAAAGAACAUGGUGGCAUAAGAACUCCAAGGACCCCCUCCCCUCCACAGCGGCAAUGUGCUUGUUGAAACACCAGUAUAAAAAAACUCGAUGAGAGCUGUGAUUGGAUUUAGUGUUGAUAUAUUUUUUGUAAAUUGUGGUAAAACAUGCAUACUAUAUAAUUUACCUUCUAACCAUUUUUUCAGUGUACAAUUUGGUGGCAUUAAGCACAUUUACAGUGUUGUGUAACCACCGCCAAUAUCCAUUUCCAGAACAUUUUCAUCAUCCCAAACAGAAACUGUACCCAUUAAACCAUAACUGCCCAUUCUCCCUACCCCCAGCCCCUGGUAAUCUCUAUUCUAUUUUCUGUUUCUAUGAAUUUGCUUAUUCUAGCUACUUUAUAUAAGUAAAAUAUCAUAUUUGUUUUUAUUUCUGGCUUAUUUCACUUAUAGUGUUUUCAAGGCUCAUCCAAUUAGAAUUUCAUUCACUUUUAAGGCUGAAUAAUAUUCCAUGCUUAUGUGCACCGUGGGUUGUUUAUCCAGUCAUCCUCUGAUGGACACUCGGUUGCUUCCACCUUUUGGAUAUUGGGUAUAGUGCUGCUAUGGGCCUGAGUGCACACAUAUCUGGCCUCAUUUGGCCACAGGCCCAGUGUCAACACCAGGGGGCGCCACAGACCAUGAAGGCGCCCACAGACCAUGAAGGCACCGUGCAGCUGGGAUUGUUUGUGGUCGGCUACUGGGUCCCUGACUUAACCAGGGGAGCCAAGACCCUGCAGCCAAGUGGCCUGGAUUCAACCUGCAGCUCAGGUCUUACUGACACUUCUCCCCCUGGUGCCUCAGUUUCUUAAUCUGUGAAAUGGUGAGGACAUUACAGCAUUUACCUCUGGGGCAGGUUUCUCAACAGCAGCACUAUUAACAAUUUGGGACAGAGAAUCUUGUGGAGUGGUCUGUCCUGUGCAUUGUGGGAGGUUUGCCAGCAGCACCCCAUUCACCCCCUCCCACCAAUCCCCAUGUGACAACCGAAAAUGUCCCAGGAUUUUUAGGUCUCCCUUGGGUCUAGAAGCUGCACUUAGGCAUUUUCCCACCUGACACUUGAGUUCAUCUCUGCUUUGGUCAACAUAAGGCCACUUUAAAAAAAUGUUGUUUCUUUAAAGAUUCUAACCAUCUUUUUUUUUUUUUUUUUAAUUUUAUUUUAUUUUUAUUGAUCAUUCUUGGGUGUUUCUCACAGAGGGGGA
rnacentral:lncRNA from 1 species